UUCUCAGUAUUUUUUUGGGAAAUGAAAUCCCAAAAAAAUUAAACCCCCCGCCUGAUACUCCUUCAUCUCCUUCUAAAAUCCUCUGCUAAGAACCCUAAAUCAUUCGUAACCAUUUUCCAUUCCCAAAAAAUUAAACAUCCCGCCUACUACGACUCCCAAAUCACCCUAAAUCAUAAAUCCUUAAAUAUUAAGAACCCUAAUUUGUUCUUGAGAAACGGUGCCUUAGAUCAAAAACUGUGAAUUCAAAUUCGAAUUAGAUCAGGUUCUCUCAAUCAAGAACCUCCCCAUUCUAUAUAUUCAGAAAAAGCAUCAAUGCAUGCAUAUUUCACCUGCGCCGGAGUUAGCCGUUCAUUAUCCCAUAUGGUCAUCGUCACAGCCUCGGGCCUUAUCAACUCCUUCCGCAAGAUCUUUCUCAUAAAUUCUAUCAAUCCUAACCUCUCUCAGUCAAGAAACCCUAACCUUUCUCUCUAUUCACGAGCCAGUAAUCGAUGCCAUCAUAUGUUUCUUUUCUCCGUUACCCUGUUUGUUUUCCCUAAAAUCAUGUUUGGGUUUCUUUUUACUCAUAUGAUUUCUCCAAGGUUUUGAUGCAUUCAUCGCUUACACAUCUCUCAAUUUUCUUUCUAUUGGUGGAUCUGCUCUUUUUUGCUCUCGAUCGAGGGUUUUUUGGGCUUUCAGGUCGCAGAUUUCUUUUAGGCAUUCUUCAACUGUACUCAUCCAGAAAUUCUUUGUUAGGGUUUUUAAUCGCUCUUUAAUUUCAAUUCUAUGUCCGUUAGUUAGUUUUGGAUCUAUACCACAGUACACAAUCAUGAACAUUCAGGUUCUCAUGGCUCCUUUACUUUCCAUCUUCGUGUUGUUAGUGUUUGUACUCCACGUUGCCUCUGAAUCCACGAGAGAAGUAGUAGAACAAAUCGAUGGAGAAGAACUCAAUGAGGAGUUGCUGUUCAGGCCACUUCCUGAUCAGAAAGUUCUUUUUCAUUUUCACUUCGAGAGUAGGGUUCCUCCGACAAAUUCUUAUAGACAUCACCACUGGCUUUUUUCCAAAGCUAUCUAUCAGCUGGAUUUGUGGUCUCAUGAUUCAAACAAUCCAUGUGCCUCUCUCAAGCCUGAACGAUGAGAGCACUAGUGGGUGCACCAUUUCCAACAACUUUUAAGGUUCUGAAAGCAACCAUGGCUGAAUUUCCAGCUCUUAAUGGUCAAAGCAUUUCUUAUGUUGUAAUCCAGUUCCCUAAUGGCACAGUCAACCCACCACACACCAAUCCAUGAGCUUUGGAGCUGUUGUUUGUUCUCAUGGGUUCUUUAGAAGUUGGGUUUGUCGUCACUACUAAUAAGCUGUUUACUCAGACUCUACAACAAGGUUACAUCUUUGUGUUCCCGAAGGGACUUGUCCACUUCCAAUUUAAUAGUGAUUCUAAGAAUCCAGCUUUAGCACUCUCUACAUUUGGUAGUAGUGCAAGAGCAGGGACUGUAUCUGUCCUUUGCAGUGAAAUAGGUGCUCAUUUUUCAGCUUGUGGGAGACGAGGUGAAUGUGGCUUGCUUUCACCCUUUCUCUGGUGGUGGUAUUGUCUAUGGCACGAAGGUGAAUUUCAACAACAACUGCAACUAAUUAAAUCUUAGCAGAAUCUUCAACCUGCUGCUGCUGCUAGAUUGCAACCUAAUUCUGCUCCGCUCAUGCCAUCCUUGAAAUGUAACUAGACUGAGCACACGUCGCCUGAUGGAUAUAAGUACUACAACAAUAGUACAACUGGAGAAAGCAAGUAACAGAUAUGUAGGGCAGACAACACUCCAGCAGGAGGUCCAAAGUCUUGCAAAGAAGGUUGUAGAAACUGUGGUGUUGGUAAUUGAUGAUGAAGGGACUGAGUAUCUGAUAUAAGAACUUCUCAAGUUGCUUCUAUUUCCAUGCUGCUUGGGAAGCACUGUCUAGAGUUGUUGGUUCAGUCCCGAAAGAAAAAUGAAUUUUAAAAAUUUAAAGGAAGAACAAUGAAUUUUGGACUAAAUAAAAUCGGAACGUUGUGGAGAAAAGAAAUGCUAAGGAUGCAUCUGGGAACAUUGUACUUGGAGAAUGAUCUUAUCAGUUAAUGAACUUGAUCGUGGGUUUGAUCAAGCACAGGUUUACAUUUCUACCCCUGCUUUUAUCUUUAAUCUUUUUUGUUAUAUAAUUGUAUUUCCCCCUUUUUUUAUCAAGUUAAUUUGGUGGUUAAUUAUGAUCUUCCUAUAAGACAUGAUCAUCAAUCUCAACCUGACCAUGAAGUGUACUUGCAUUGAAUUGGAAGAGCAGGGUGAUUUGGGCGUAAAGGUAAUUGUUUUUUAAUAUAUUUUUUUGGAAAGAGGAUUAUCCCAUAACGGGUGUAGUCCGGGCCAGCUUUGAAGCUACAUGGCCACAAGAGUGUUGUAAUGAAUGACUAUAUAAAUACUUUAUAAUGUAUGUGAUAGGAGCUAUAUUCAAAUUGUUAUCUGGUGAAAGGUACAGCAUGAUCAUGGAAAGAAUUGAGACACAUUUCAACCAUUUAAUGGUUUUUGUGUUGUUUGGGUGGGAUUUAUAUUUGUUGCAAAAGUUGGGAGCUAUAAAAAGAGUCAAUUAUGCUUCCUUUCUAUCAAAAGCUAAAAAUCAGAAUUUAUCAUUUAAAAGGAAACUAAACAAUUUCAUUGAUUUAUAUUCUAAUUUAAAGGUUGAGUUGUGUUUUGUUGCAACAUUAUCAAGUGGAGUUGCUCAAACUCAGGUCCUUUUCAGGUCUCAAAUCAACAACUUGGAAAGCACUAAAGAUGUGCAUCCUCAGUUCAGUCCUUGAUAAGUGCCUAAGGCUGCUUGGUUUUGAGUCAGCAACACCUUGUGAUACCUCUUGCAAACUCAGAUUGGUCCUUUCAAAUGUUAGCAAGGUGGGUUAUGCCUUUCAAGAUCUAUUGGAGAUAAAGAAGUUGGGGAGUUCAUUAUGCCAGUUCCUCGUGUCAAACAAGUGAAGCUAUCUUCUACUUGUGGGCGGCUUGUAAUUUCAAGUGAUGGAGCCUGGGAUGCUCUUUCCACUGAAUCAGCUCUGGAAUGCAGUCACUGAUUGGCUCUGGAAUUAGCAGCAGCACAAAUUGUCAAAGUACGGAAACAAAAAAUGUCAAAUUUGUAAAAAAAUAUUAUGCAAUGGAUUUUAUUUUUUGUAUAUGAUAUUUUGUAUGACAUUAAAUUUUAUGAAAUGGAUUAUAUUUUUUGUA